AGAAUCAACGCUGGCGGCGUGCCUAACACAUGCAAGUCGAACGAGAAAGUGGAGCAAUCCAUGAGUAAAGUGGCGACCGGGUGAGUAACACGUGACUAACCUACCUUCGAGUGGGGGAGUAACCCCGGAAACCGGGGCUAAUACCGCAUAACAUCGCAAGAUCAAAGCAGCAAUGCGCUGGAAGAGGGGGUCGCGGCGUGAUUAGCUAGUUGGCGGGGUAACGGCCCACCGAAGGCGAAGAUCGGUA
rnacentral:rRNA from 1 species